rnacentral:tRNA from 1 species
GGGCCGUUAGCUCAGUUUGGCAGAGCAGCGGACUCUUAAUCCGCGGGUCGGAGGUUCGAGCCCUCCACGGCUCACCA